UGUGUCAACAGCACAUAUACUAAAAUUGCUAAAACUGGAACAAUGCAAAAGAUUAGCAUGGCUCCAGUACAAGGAUAAUAUCUAAAUUCAUAAAGUGUUCCAUAUUUGA
rnacentral:snRNA from 1 species